AGUGAACGCUGGCGGUAGGCCUAACACAUGCCAGUCGAACGGCAGCACAGUAAGAGCUUGCUCUUACGGGUGGCGAGUGGCGGACGGGUGAGGAAUACAUCGGAAUCUACUUUUUCGUGGGGGAUAACGUAGGGAAACUUACGCUAAUACCGUAUACGACCUACGGGUGAAAGCAGGGGAUCUUCGGACCUUGCGCGAUUGAAUGAGCCGAUGUCGGAUUAGCUAGUUGGCGGGGUAAAGGCCCACCAAGGCGACGAUCCGUAGCUGGUCUGAGGGGAUGAUCAGCCACACUGGAACUGAGACACGGUCCAGACUCCUACGGGAGGCAGCAGUGGGGAAUAUUGGACAAUGGGCGCAAGCCUGAUCCAGCCAUACCGCGUGGGUGAAGAAGGCCUUCGGGUUGUAAAGCCCUUUUGUUGGGAAAGAAAAGCAGCAGGUUAAUACCCCGCUGUUCUGACGGUACCCAAAGAAUAAGCACCGGCUAACUUCGUG
rnacentral:rRNA from 1 species